UACGUAGGUGGCAAGCGUUGUCCGGAUUUAUUGGGUUUAAAGGGUGCGUAGGCGGUUCUGUAAGUCAGUGGUGAAAUCCGGCAGCUCAACUGUCGAUGUGCCAUUGAUACUGCAGAACUUGAGUACAGACGAGGUAGGCGGAAUUGACGGUGUAGCGGUGAAAUGCUUAGAUAUCGUCAAGAACACCGAUAGCGAAGGCAGCUUACUAGACUGUAACUGACACUGAGGCACGAAAGUGUGGGGAUCAAACAGG
rnacentral:rRNA from 1 species